rnacentral:RNase_P_RNA from 2 species
GCAGUCUCAAGGCCGCGAGGCUCGUCACACACAGGAACUCUCUCCGUUUGAGAUCCACCUUCACGAGCGGGCUAAGGUCUGAGUAUUACAAUCUCCUUCGCAUGCCCUCGCUGGGCACGACGCUAACGCGUCGGGCAACGAAUCAGAAAAACGUACACCAUCCACUCCAUCGCCCAAGAUCGGCUGGUAUCCGCUGGGACCUUUCACAGGUCACGGUGUAUGUGGUCGGGAGGCUCGUGGAUUCGUGGGCUUGGAAGUCGUUGUGGGGUUCGGGGACGCUGUUGGAUCUCGCAUACACAGGUGCACACCCUCGAGGAGCAUUAUGAUUUGCAGCGAAGGACGACGCGUGCCCCUUGAGUGCAAUUCGCGGCGGGCGUCGAGGACUCGUACCGAGGCGCCCAACUCGAUUCAGACUACUCUUUGGCUGC